rnacentral:rRNA from 1 species
UCGACUGUUUUAACAAAAACAUCGUCUCUUGCCAAACCAAAAUAAGAGAUAAUGCCUGCCCAGUGAUACUAUUUAAACGGCCGCGUUAGCGUGAGCGUGCUAAGGUAGCGUAAUAAACAGCCUCUUAAUUUAAGGCCAGUGAAAGGCAACACGGGGAGUAACUAUAUCUUGUGUGACAAAAAAAUUUUACCUUUGAGUGAAAAGGCUCAAAUAUCUUAAAAAGACGAAAAGACCCCGCGGAGCUUUACUCUAAAGCCAUAAGCCUUAACAAAGCCACCGCCGAAAGUUUGGUUGGGGCAACCUUGGAAUAAACCCACCUUCCAAUCGCUAUACAAAAACAUUCAAAAUUAGUUACAGACCAAAAAGAAGCUACCCCGGGGAUAACAGCGUAAUCCAACUAGAAAGUACACAUCGAAAGUUGGGUUUGCGACCUCGAUGUUGGCUUAGGGUAAUCCACAAGGCGCAGCCGCUAUGAAAGGAAAGUCUGUUCGACUUCUAUGACCCUACAUGAGCUGAG